UAUCCAUGUGGAGGGCAUUUUAUCAGUAACUCUUUGAACCACUCCCAACUCUCAGAAAACUUCUCAUCCUCCUCCUGAGUAAAAGAACUAAUUUCCUUUUGGCACU